rnacentral:lncRNA from 1 species
CACAUGGGGUACGUGAGGACAGCAGCCAGGUCUCUCUGCUCUUCAGGGAAGUGAGAUGACUCACCAGCUCAGAGGACUGGCAGAGCGCAAGGCGUUUUCUGGUGUGCCCAGCUCCAAGAAUUGCACCUGGCACAGAGGAGGCACUCACUGAAUGGUUGCUGAGCGAAUGGAUACGUUAGUAGGAAGCAGUUUUUAUACAUUUUGUGAUCCAUUCACAGGCUUGUGGCAGAUGAAUAAUGUCUGUAAGAUUGCAGAGGAGAGGAGACUGAAUCAGAGAGGAGACUGACCCUAACUCCAGGCUUCGGUGCAAAACCCUCCUGUUAGGGGAUUGGCAGAGUCCCUCAAAAUCACGUUUAAAUCGCUCUGCAGAGCGCGGUGCAGAGCGCCAUCUGCUGGACAAAACAUAAAAAACUGAGUUUGUUCUAAGAUCCUGGAGGAUUGCUUCAAAGCAGCUUUUCUUGGAAAAGAGCAGCAGGUGGAGAAACUGAGGCUCAGAUUUACACGUCUAAUGCAUUGGACACGGGGACUGUGAAACCAGGUCUCUCUUCAGCACGCACCAUGCUUUCUCUAGCCCUCUUUAUCACCAGAUAAUGAGUCCAUUAUUAUUUUCUUUUUAC